CAGGGAUUUGCACAGAUGCUGUGUGGAGCUGUUUUUCUCAGGUAUGGAUACCUUUGUAAAGAAAAGUCUGGUAUAAAGUCCUGUUGCUGAUGACCAUUGGAAACUUCAUUGGUUCAUUGAAUUGAAGAUCUCUCAUUCAGAAAGCCCUUUUCUUUAAGGAGUCCAGGAUGAUAUGGGGUAAGAGAAAGAAACUUUGGAAUUCAAAAAAAGAGUUAAGAGAAUAGUCACCUGAAGAAGCCAAGAAGGAUCCCAGAUACUUGAUGGAAGAACAGUGGAAGAAGUACCACAAAUCUGGAGAGAGCCCAAGUUGUUCCAUUCUCCAUCACCACCACUUCCCUCUCCCCUCCUCUUUUUAGGCCCUAGGGCAGUGAGCUUAAAUCUCCCACUAUCUUCAUUCUUUCUAUCUCCUCAAUAUCAUUAAUGGAAUUCAUUAUUACCUUUUCCUCAAAACCCUCUCCUCUUCCAAGCAUCCCUAUUAAUGUUAAGGACUCCAGUCCCCAACCUCUUGUGUCAACACUGGAUUCUUAUUAACACUCACCUUACACAUUAAA